rnacentral:rRNA from 1 species
CAGAAGGGGAUAACACUUGGAAACAGGUGCUAAUACCGUAUAACAAUCGAAACCGCAUGGUUUUGAUUUGAAAGGCGCUUUCGGGUGUCGCUGAUGGAUGGACCCGCGGUGCAUUAGCUAGUUGGUGAGGUAACGGCUCACCAAGGCCACGAUGCAUAGCCGACCUGAGAGGGUGAUCGGCCACAUUGGGACUGAGACACGGCCCAAACUCAUACGGGAGGCAGCAGUAGGGAAUCUUCGGCAAUGGACGAAAGUCUGACCGAGCAACGCCGCGUGAGUGAAGAAGGUUUUCGGAUCGUAAAACUCUGUUGUUAGAGAAGAACAAGGAUGAGAGUAACUGUUCAUCCCUUGACGGUAUCUAACCAGAAAGCCACGGCUAACUACGUGCCAGCAGCCGCGGUAAUACGUAGGUGGCAAGCGUUGUCCGGAUUUAUUGGGCGUAAAGCGAGCGCAGGCGGUUUCUUAAGUCUGAUGUGAAAGCCCCCGGCUCAACCGGGGAGGGUCAUUGGAAACUGGGAGACUUGAGUGCAGAAGAGGAGAGUGGAAUUCCAUGUGUAGCGGUGAAAUGCGUAGAUAUAUGGAGGAACACCAGUGGCGAAGGCGGCUCUCUGGUCUGUAACUGACGCUGAGGCUCGAAAGCGUGGGGAGCAAACAGGAUUAGAUACCCUGGUAGUCCACGCCGUAAACGAUGAGUGCUAAGUGUUGGAGGGUUUCCGCCCUUCAGUGCUGCAGCUAACGCAUUAAGCACUCCGCCUGGGGAGUACGAC